UACGAAGGGUGCAAGCGUUACUCGGAAUUACUGGGCGUAAAGCGUGCGUAGGUGGUUCGUUAAGUCUGAUGUGAAAGCCCUGGGCUCAACCUGGGAAUGGCAUUGGAUACUGGCGAUCUAGAGUGCGGUAGAGGGUAGUGGAAUUCCCGGUGUAGCAGUGAAAUGCGUAGAAAUCGGGAGGAACACCGGUGGCGAAGGCGGCAUCCUGGACCGGUAUUGACGCUGAGGCGCGAAAGCCAGGGGAGCAAACGGG
rnacentral:rRNA from 1 species